UUUACCAGAGUACUAUGAAUAUUUAAAGAUUUAAAACUCAAAGAACUUGGCGGUGUUUUAGACCACUCAGGGGAACCUGUCUCGUAAUCGACAAUCCACGUUGUACCUGACCUUUUUUUGUUUUCAGUUUGUAUACCGUUGUCGUCAGGUAACUUUUUAGAAAUUAGAAGUUAGCAGUAAAAAUAUUGAUGAUUUAGUACGUCAAAUCAAGGUGCAGCUAAUAAAAAGGGGAGGAUGGGUUACAAUUAUAUGAUUUAUAAUAACGGAUAAACAUACGAAUGUAUGUUAAAUUAUAAGGCGGACUUGAAAGUAAAUUGAAAUAUGUAAGUAAUUUGAAUGAGGCUCUGAAACGUGU
rnacentral:rRNA from 1 species